GUCUGGAUGGCUCAGUUAGUGGAGUGUGAGACUCUUGAUCUUGGAGUUGUGGGUUCAAGUCCCACAAUGGAUG
rnacentral:tRNA from 1 species